AUUGAACGCUGGCGGCAGGCCUAACACAUGCAAGUCGAACGAGUGGCGGACGGGUGAGGAAUGUCUGGGAAACUGCCCGAGGGAGGGGGAGAACUACUGGAAACGGUAGCUAAUACAGCAUACCAUCUGAUUUGCCCAGAUGGGAUUAGCUAGUGGGUGGGGUAACUGCUCACCUAGUGGACGAUCCCUAGCUGGUCUGAGAGGAUGACCAGCCACACGGGAACGGAGACACUGUCCAGACUCCUACGGUAGGCAGAAGUGGGGAAUAUUUCACAAUGGGCGCAAGCCUGAUGCAGCCAGGCCGCGUGUAUGAAGAGGGCCUUCGGGUUGUAAAGUACUUUCAGCGAGGAGGCGUUACUCGCAGAAUAAGCAGCGGCUAACUCCGUGCCAGCAGCCGCGGUAAUAC
rnacentral:rRNA from 1 species